rnacentral:rRNA from 1 species
UACGUAGGGUGCAAGCGUUUGUCCGGAAUUAUUGGGCGUAAAGAGCUCGUAGGCGGUUUGUCGCGUUUGCUGUGAAAACGCGAGGCUCAACCUCGCGCCUGCAGUGGGUACGGGCAAACUAGAGUGCGGUAGGGGAGAUUGGAAUUCCUGGUGUAGCGGUGGAAUGCGCAGAUAUCAGGAGGAACACCGAUGGCGAAGGCAGAUCUCUGGGCCGUAACUGACGCUGAGGAGCGAAAGCAUGGGGAGCGAACAGG